AUUGAACGCUGGCGGCAUGCUUUACACAUGCAAGUCGAACGGUAACAGGCCGCAAGGUGCUGACGAGUGGCGAACGGGUGAGUAAUGCAUCGGAACGUGCCCAGUCGUGGGGGAUAACUACUCGAAAGAGUAGCUAAUACCUCAUACGAUCUAUGGUAUAAAGCGGGGGACCGUAAGGCUUCGCGCGAUUGGUGCGGCCGAUUUCAGAUUAGGUAGUUGGUGAGGUAAAGGCUCACCAAGCCAACGAUCUGCAGCUGGUCUGAGAGGACGACCAGCCACACUGGGACUGAGACACGGCCCAGACUCCUACGGGAGGCAGCAGUGGGGAAUUUUGGACAAUGGGCGCAAGCCUGAUCCAGCAAUGCCGCGUGAAGGAAGGAGGCCUUCGGGUUGUAAACUGCUUUUGUACGGAACGAAACGGCGCUGGUUAAUACCCGGGGCUAAUGACGGUACCGUAAGAAUAAGCACCGGCUAACUACGUG
rnacentral:rRNA from 1 species